GGGCCUGUGGCGCAGCCUGGAUAGCGCAAGUGCCUUCUAAGCACGAGGUCGAGGGUUCAAAUGCAAGCAAAACGUUGCGUUUUGCAGUUUUUUCGCUUGUGCGAAAAUCCCUCCAGGCCCG
rnacentral:tRNA from 1 species